GUGCUUGCUUAGGCAGGACAUACACUAAAAUUGUAAUGCUGCAGACAAGGUUAGCAUGGCUUCUGCGAAAGAUGACAUGUAAAUCUGUGAAGCAUUCCAUAUUUAA